rnacentral:lncRNA from 1 species
UGGGGCAGGGGGCGCGGGGUGAGCCAUCAACUCCAGCCGCCUGCCUGGCCGCGCAAGGCGGGAAAGUGGGGGCGCUUUUGCGCCUCACGUUAAGUUUAGGGUCACGAGCACUCUUGUGGAGAUCGGGAGCGGUUGGGCUAGGGAUGAUGCCUCUUCCUCUUUCCCCUUCCCCUCCCUUCUUGUCCCCGCCUUUCCUCUGGGUCCUCCCGGGGACCACCCCCUACCCCUCGUCAGAGUCGCCCUGGGAGAGCCGAGGGCCUGAGGGUCGACCACCAAGGGCAGAGCCUAUCCCUUGGGGAGCUGCUGGAGGAGACAGGCAGCGCCGGGAGGUGGCUCACACCGCACCGCCGAGAGCGCUUUGCCCUCGCAUCGCUGAAAUUUAAUCACGGUCACAGAGCUGGAAGACAGCUGUUCCUGGAUCACACCAGAAUGGAGAAGCAAGCUCCUCCCACUAGCAGAAAGCCUUUGCUUUCUGUGCCUGGAUUCGGAAGAUUAGUUAAGCACUGGAAGAGGAGGGGGGAAACAACAACUCGUUUUUGCUGUAUGUUUUUUUUUUAAUUGUUUUUAUAUUUAUAGAAAGUUAUGCUUUGUCUGAUUCUUGCGCUAAUUUGGGUUCUGAAAUUUGAGUAAAAUCAAAUUUAAACAUACAAAACAACUUUAAAACCACAAGGAACAGGAAGCAAAUGAUUAUACAUAAAAGACAUAUAGAAGAUAAUGCAUAUGUGUUCAGUGGAAAAUAGAAAAGCAUGAAAGUAAGAUCACAAAUAUUUAUUAUUUAAACUCUUCCUUGAACUAUUGGUCUGCCCUUUGGAAAAGCAGACUUUCCUUAAUGCAGUAGCUCAUAUUAAUAUUUUUUGUUUGCUUAGGACCAGAGCAAGAAGGUUGGACUUGGGAGCUAGUUUGCUGUCUGGCUUUGAGACCUUGAACAAGUUUUGUUCUCCUUCUGUUUCCAGUUUUCUUUUUUGUAAAUUAGGAGAUUAACUCAUGUGAUCACUCUAUUUUCAACUUUUUGUUAUGGGAAAUAUUCAAACAUAUGCAAAAGUAGACAGAAUAAAGGACUCUCAUGUGAAGAUCAUCCAACUUUUACAUUUUUUCAAUGCAUGGCUGAUCAUGUCUCAUCCAUAAGUCCACUCACUUUAUCACUACCAAUCCUCCCUCUUUUUUUUUUUUUUUUACCAAAUUCAAGCUUUAUAUAUAUCUUUUCAGCUGUAAACAUUCAGUAUGCAUCCACAAAAUUUAAGGACUGUUUAAAAAUAACCACAAUAUCAUUAGAUGAUUCUUUAAAAUUGCAGUGUAAUUUACACCUAGGGAAAUGCUCAGAUGUUGUGUCCCUUUAAAUCAGUUUUGAAAAAGCCAUGCAUUAGUGUAACCCACACUAUUUUGAAGACACAGGACAUUUUCAUCAUUCCAGACAGUUACCUUGUACCUUCAUGUGCAUAUUCUAGAAUGUCAUAAAGAUCUAAUCACGUAGUAUAAACUUUGUUUUAUAUUUGUCUGACUUCUUUUACUCAGUAUAAUAUUUGUGAGGUUCGUUCAUGUCGUUGCAUGAAUGGGUGUUUUGUUUUUUAUUGCUUUUUGUUGUUUCUUUUUACUACUGUUAAUAGUAUAAGUUUUCCAUUGUGCCUCUUUACAACUAGUAUCUCAAUAGAGUAUUACAACAAUUAUUUAAUAUAUUAUUUCACAUGACAUAUUUAUAGUAUAACCAUGACCUCCUUGAGACCUAGUGCUUUAAGUCAAAGAGGUAAAUAAAAUGAGAUAUUUUAGGUCUCAUUACAACAGACCAAUGUGAGAGAAUUAUUUCUGGACAGUUGCACUUCUUAUAAACGUUUAACAUGAUUCCAAACUUUUAUUUGGUAAUUUGUUAGUCCUUUGGCAAAGGACUAAUGUACUAUGUUAUUUAGUCAUAACAAGCAGAUCAAUUACAUUUUAUGUAACUUUUAUAGACAGAGAAACUGAGCUCCAAGAGUUUUGGUGAUAUGCUGAGAUCACCUAGCUAUUUUAAGUGGCAGAGCUGAGACAAUUUAGCAGAAACUGUUACAGAAGGCACAAUUGUCUCCUGAAUUAGCAGUUUGUGUCUGAAGCCUCACAGAUUGGGUGUGGUAAAGAGUGAGAAGGAAAAAGGUAGAACCCAGCUGUGUUAGAAAUAGCCUUCAAAUUUGGAUGUGACAAUGGAAAUCAAGAAGAACUUAUGUUAUUAUGAAACAGUUCAUUCAUAUUUAAAGUUUUGCCUUUUCUAUAUUGGUAUUCCUCAAUAGGGGGAGAUGAUUUCUUACUACCUACAAAAAAAGAAAACUGUAAACUAAUUUCGUUGUCAUUUUGAAUUACAACUAUAUGUUUAACUCUUGUCACUCCUUAAAAUGCCUUGAACACAGUAAACAUCCAAUGAACUUUUAAUUACACAUAAUAUUGAUAGUGAUAUUGCAUAUGUUCUAGGUCUGUAUUCUUAAGGAGGGAAAGCUGCUCAAGUACAAAGAAGGGAACUAGAAGUUAAAAUAAAGUUUUUUUAAUUUUUCUUUUCAUUAUUGAUGGACAGCAUGGUCUUCAGUAAAUCUUUAGCCUCUCUGAAUAUAACGUUAAACUAAUUGAAUGGCUUGUACCUCAUAAGAAAUAUGAAGUUAUGAAGUAAUAACAUAUUUGGAAGCAUUACUAACAUGCAUAUUCUGUUCAUAACUACAAUAUUCAUGUUUUGUUUUCUCUUUGCUAAGUGAAAUAUAAAUAUUUUACCAGACCAUAAUAGGAUUCUUUUAUCUGGAUUUAAUUCAUUAAUUUUGCUAUAGAUUAACAUUCUAUGAAAUAUAUGCUUAACCUAGACUUUGUUUACCCCCAUAGAACAACUGAAUUUUUAGGUAUGGUAUGUGGUAAACUUGUGCUAUAGCAAAGACAGCAGAGUAGAAUGGCAUGAAAAUAAAGAUGCUGCCCAUUAACAAUUGAUUAAAGAGAGGACUGAUUUAAUGUGUUUAAGUUAAGAAAAUACAACGUUUAUUAUCUUUGGAUAAUAUUCCGUAUUUGUUGUGAACACAAGGGGUGAUGUAAUGUUGAUGCUGGAGCCACCUGCUUCUUAUUCUCUAUCUGCACCUUCCUCUCACCUUCUGUAAACCUGUGAGAGAGACGAGGUAGUGAGAUUGCGAUAGGCUUCUUGUGUAAUUUCAUAGUGGGUAGAGUAGAGAAAGCCUAAUGCAUACUGUUGGGAGAUCAUUAUGUAUGAUUUUGGAAAGGGGGUGAGCAUGAGAUGGGGGAAUAGGGUUACUCUGAAGAAAUGGGAAGAGCAAUCAAGGAGAAGCAUAGUAUUCAGAUUCUCUAAUUUGACCCCAUGGCCAACUUCAUAUUGUUUCCACUAGAUAUCAUUUUAAAUAUUCCUGUGGUUUCGUGGUCCUAAGAAUAUGAAGGCAUGCAAGAUUCCAAGAUUAAAGAUGUUAAAGCCAGAUAGAAAAGAUAUUUAAAUAUUUCAAAAUCUAACAAGUUCAAAUGACUUUAGUUUUAGAAAGAAAAAAACACAUUAAUGAGCCCAAGAAAUACACGCAACUCUGCAACUCUGGUGAGCAUGAUAGACUUCUAAGAGUAAAUGUACUAGAUACAACCUAAAUUCAGGGACUUAUUAAAGCUCUACUACUCAUUACUAGUGACUCAGAGCAAGUAUCUAUAACCUCUCUAAUCUCUAGUUUUCUCAUUAAAAAAUGGGCAUGAUAUUUUACUUGUCUUGUUUGAUUGUUGUAAGGAAUGAAUAAUGUGGCUCAUAGCAAAGAGCCAGGCAGAGUGGAAGCUCUCAGUACAAGUAGCUAUUGUUAUUAUCUAGCCUCCAUGUUUUGGGUGUCCUAGGACAUGCUUUUUUUUUUUUUCCAUUGCAGUAGAUUUCCACCUGUUCCCAUCCUCCACAGUCUCCCAUCCCACCAGCAACACACGUGAGAUAUCUGAUGCCUUCCCAUCAAUAACUCUCACUUAGUAUGGGUAAGCAAAAAAUUUCCAACCAGGGAUGGAAGUUGUGGAGAGAUAGAGUGGGAAAGCUCAAGGAGCAUUGAUAGGGAUCAUUAAUUAAAAAUCUACCAAACAUCUCUUUCUCUCCCUAAUGUGCGAGUUACAAUAACAUCACUCAAAGCAGUUUGCAGCCACAGCUUGAAGAAAUACAGUAACAAUGACAGAAUUAACAUUCACUAUCUUUAUUAACAUUUUUACUUUCUUAAACCUUGUUUCUUUCAAAAGACACUGGCAUAGUCCUGUAUGAAUUAUGUGGAUUUGCCAAGAGAAAAAAAUAAAAUGAUACAACAAAUGGUGUUCCAAGUUUGACAGACCCUUUGUGCCAGUGGCUCUGAAAGGCUUCAGAAUGAAUAUCCAAUUCAGAAAUCAGUCCCUAAUAUUUCAGAUUAGUGAAGAAUCAACAGACUGAACAGCAUUUGUAUUCAGAAAGGAAGAAAAUAAAUGAAUUUUUAAAAUAUCACGG